GCGAAGUCUCGCGAGACUUGACCGGAAGCGGAUGGCACCUGCAGCCGCGGCGGAGGUGACGGUUGCCUUCGCCCAGGCGUAGCCAGCAGUGCGGUGAACGGCGGCGGCAGCGGCAGCGGUGGCAGCGGCAGGUCUCCCUCGGACAGACAGACAGCGCCUGCAGGGCUGGAACCAUGAGUUCUCCUGAUGAGGUGUCUUUUCGGGGGACCAAUUGGGGGCCGGAAAGUGGGGAGCACACAGAGAGACGCCGGUUUGCCCAUGGAUUCCCGCGGGGACACGGCCCCGGCCCCGGCCCCGAGGAGAAGGUGUGCCUUCAGGUCUCCAGGCCUCCCCAGUACGACUCGUGGUUAGACAGGGAGGAGAUGGACGGAAGGUCAGUCAUUUGGGGCUGCGAGGGGCGGCCCGGCACCCCAGUGGAUGACAGAGGGGACAAUCUGGACUUUGUACAGCAGCUAGCCAUCGAGGGUACAAGCUUCGGGCAGCACAUAGCCAACCGGGAGGCCUGGGGGAUCCACGGACAUCAAUCCCCCCCAAGCUGUGCUGCUGAGCCCAUUAGCAUUUGGGGAGACUCAGACGCAAGCACGCUCAGAAGAAGCAUGCGGCCUCAGACCUCAACGGAAGGGAAGCAGGUCACAGCUACCCAACUGCACCCCAGAGGUCCGGGGCGAGGCAGGGCCUGGAUGACCCCAAGAAGAAGUGCCAUGAGUAGGGUAGUAACCAGUGAUGACAUUCAAUGUCCCUCCUCCAGCCCUGAGUCUUCUGAUGAGUUCAGUGAGACACAGAUGAUGAGGGUAACCAUUUGUCUCAAAGAAGGAAACCAGCCCAAGUCCGCUGGCCUCACUGAGCAGGAAGAUCCAGCUAGACACACGAAUGUCCAUGGCAGGGAAAGUUUUGUCCAUGUGCCUCCCUCUAUGCUGGCCUCUACUCCAAGAGGACUCGGUUCAGCCAUCGAAAAGCAGGCUUCGGGAGAGCUGGAAAGCUCUUCAGCUAAGAAAAAACAAACUAUGGUUUGGAGCAAAGAAGGGGGCAGGCCCAGCCACCAAGGAGCUACUGCAGCAGCAGCAGCAGCUGCCACUGCCACUGCCUCUGCCUCUGCCUCUGCCUCUGCCACUGCCAAUGCCACUGCCUCUGCCUCUGCCUCUGCCUCUGCCUCUGCCACUGCCACUGCCACUGCCUCUACUGUUGCCCCUGCCCCUGUUGCUGUUGCUUCUGCUGGCUUAUACAAGAUAAGUCCAAGAAAGAAGCCAGCCCAGGAAAAGCCAUCUCAGUGGGACACCUCAAGAGGACCCGUGGCGAGAAUCUUCCCACCAUGGGGACAGAGACUCAAAUCAGCUACUGUAGAACCAGCCACUUUCCCCCCAAUCUCAGGGGUUGCUCUGCUAGGGAAGGCAAGUAAAUGCUCACUGCCUUCAGGGCCCAAAGAGUUCAAGUCCGUCUGCACUGGGAAGAAAUCCAUAGCAAAGAAGACAAGGGAGCCACAGGCAGGGCCCAAAGAAGAUAACUCACCGAGAGAUCCUGGUCUGCAGGCCCAAGUUCCACUACACAGGGCAGAGCAGCCUUCCGUGUGCAUGCAUCGUGGAGAAAUGAGCAGUGGAGACUCCAACACCAGAGCCCCUCAAGUUCCAGCAAACCCACAGUUCUUCUUGAUCCAGAGAUGUGCCAGACCCAGAGCACCACCUGCACCUGCUGGUGACCAGGAAUUACCUCUACGUCUGCCAUUCCCAGUUGGCGAUAGGCAGCAUCAAAUACAAGCCAUAGGGGGCUGCCAACAGUGUGAGAUGUUACAGAAGGAAAUAGAUGAACUCAAGGAACAACUCGGUAUGGCCUACCCCGGGCAGGAAAGAUAUUGGGACAGGGGCAGAGGGGGGAGCUUAGUGUUUGGGUGCAGGUGGUUACAGUGGGUGGUGGGGCAGGCCCUCAUGGGGAAGGUGACAUGAAUCAGGCCAGGCUGGGAGCCCUGUGUGCCUUGACUUCUGGAACUUGCACCAAGAGGCUCUCUGUUCUCCCAUGUGCUGUACAGAUGAGUCCCCCCAGCCUCUUCUCUCUGGACAUUCAGAUGUUCCUCCUUAGCUUUCCCUUGAAGUCCUGGCACCUGGAAUUUUUGGGUGUCUGUUGACACAUGUUUGUUUGUUUGUUUGUUUGUUUGUUUCACAAGUAGGGCUGGCACUGCUGUGACCCAGCGUUUGAGGACUGCCUAUCCAUGCUGUUCUCCUGUAGAAAACGUUUGCACAUAGCGCUCGGUGAUGGGUGGGGGAGUGUGUCCCAACUCUGUCUGCUUGGAUGGGGGCUGGAGGGCAGUGAGGCGGCUGUCUGGAAGUUCCUGUGGAGCAGAGCAUGGGUCUCAGGCGGGUGGGUUCCUGUCCUGUGUGUCUAUGUCUGGAAUACCCAUUUUUACCUCUGUGUUUCAGCAAUCAUGCAAGUCUUCAAAGAAAAGUUCCAGGAUCCUUGAAGUUGGACUCAAGAGUUUCUCCCCACAGAAGAGGCCAAACUACCACCUGUGGAUCCUGCUUCCUUCCAGUUUUCUUCGACAGCAGUGGUUCCCACCUUCCUAAUGCUAUGGCCUGCUCAUGGGCUUCAUUUUGUGAUGUUAACCCUCUACCAUAAAGCUAUUUCAUUGUUACUUCACAGCUGUACUUUUGCAA